rnacentral:rRNA from 1 species
GAUGAACGCUAGCUACAGGCUUAACACAUGCAAGUCGAGGGGUAACGAGAGGAAAGCUUGCUUUCCUUGUUGACGACCGGCGCACGGGUGAGUAACGCGUAUCCAACCUGCCCCCAACUAGGGAAUAACCCUGCGAAAGUAAGACUAAUACCCUAUAAUUUCCUCAGAUGUCAUCUGACGAGGAAUAAAGAUUUAUCGGUUGUGGAUGGGGAUGCGUCUGAUUAGCUUGUUGGCGGGGUAACGGCCCACCAAGGCACCGAUCAGUAGGGGUUCUGAGAGGAAAGGCCCCCACAUUGGAACUGAGACACGGUCCGAACUCCUACGGGAGGCAGCAGUGAGGAAUAUUGGUCAAUGGGCGGAAGCCUGAACCAGCCAAGUAGCGUGCAGGAUGACGGCCCUAUGGGUUGUAAACUGCUUUUAUACAGGAAUAAAGUUAGCCACGUGUGGUUAUUUGUAGGUACUGUAUGAAUAAGGACCGGCUAAUUCCGUGCCAGCCGCCGCGGUAA